AAUCAACGCUGGCGGCGCGCUUAACACAUGCAAGUCGCACGAGAAAGCAGGAGCAAUCUUGUGAGUAAAGUGGCGUACGGGUGAGUAACACGUGGAUCAUCUACCUUCUAGUGGGGCAUACCUCUGGGAAACCGGAGAUAAUUCCGCAUAAGCUCGUGAGAGGAAAGCAGCAAUGCGCUGAAGAGGAGUCCGCGGCUGAUUAGCUAGAUGGCGGGGUAACGGCCCACCAUGGCGAAGAUCGGUAGCCGGCCUGAGAGGGCACACGGCCACACUGGCACUGAAACACGGGCCAGACUCCUACGGGAGGCAGCAGUGGGGAAUCUUGCACAAUGGAGGCAACUCUGAUGCAGCGACGCCGCGUGAGCGAUGAAGCCCUUCGGGGUGUAAAGCUCUUUCGAUGGGAAAGAUUAUGACGGUACCCGGAGAAGAAGCUGCGGCUAACUACGUGCCAGCAGCCGCGGUAAUACGUAGGCAGCGAGCGUUGUUCGGAAUUACUGGGCGUAAAGAGUGUGUAGGCGGUGUUCCAAGUCUGGUGUGAAAUCUCCCGGCUUAACUGGGAGGGUGCGCCGGAAACUGGAAUGCUCGAGGGUGGGAGAGGUAAGCGGAAUUCCUGGUGUAGCGGUGAAAUGCGUAGAUAUCAGGAGGAACACCUGUGGUGUAGACAGCUUACUGGACCACUUCUGACGCUGAGACACGAAAGCGUGGGUAGCAAACAGGAUUAGAUACCCUGGUAGUCCACGCCCUAAACGAUGCAUACUUGGUGUGAGCGAUUCAUUUCGUUCGUGCCGGAGCUAACGCGUUAAGUAUGCCGCCUGGGGAGUACGGUCGCAAGGCUG
rnacentral:rRNA from 1 species